AUUGAACGCUGGCGGCAGGCCUAACACAUGCAAGUCGAGCGGUAGAGAGGUGCUUGCACCUCUUGAGAGCGGCGGACGGGUGAGUAAUGCCUAGGAAUCUGCCUGGUAGUGGGGGAUAACGCUCGGAAACGGACGCUAAUACCGCAUACGUCCUACGGGAGAAAGCAGGGGACCUUCGGGCCUUGCGCUAUCAGAUGAGCCUAGGUCGGAUUAGCUAGUUGGUGAGGUAAUGGCUCACCAAGGCGACGAUCCGUAACUGGUCUGAGAGGAUGAUCAGUCACACUGGAACUGAGACACGGUCCAGACUCCUACGGGAGGCAGCAGUGGGGAAUAUUGGACAAUGGGCGAAAGCCUGAUCCAGCCAUGCCGCGUGUGUGAAGAAGGUCUUCGGAUUGUAAAGCACUUUAAGUUGGGAGGAAGGGCCAUUACCUAAUACGUGAUGGUUUUGACGUUACCGACAGAAUAAGCACCGGCUAACUCUGUGC
rnacentral:rRNA from 1 species